CAUCAAUAUCCUGACCUUUUUUUCUCCAUUCCUGUCCUUCACGCUUAUUUAUGCAACAUGGUUCUCACUGAAACAGAGGCAGCAGCAAGCAAACAGACACAGAUGGGACACUGCAGCCUGGUUGCUUCUCUCCCUGACUGGUUUCCAUCUAUUGCUUCUUGUCCUGCUUUCAGGAAAUCUCUUCAGACUCCUCAACCAUUCCUGCAGGAGACUUAUUGCUGAAGGUUAUUCCAAAGAUGGCGUGUGUGCGAAACAUGAGUUUUAGCAAGAGCUUUCUUCUGUCACCCUGGACAAGGAGAAUGAUUGCGUAAAAUAAAAUAAAGGAAAACA